CUUUUUUACCAGCAACAAUGCAUUUUUUUACUGAGGAGGGAUUUAGAACAUUUUCAUACAGUGAGAAGAGAGAAAAAAGAUGUCACCUGCUCCCAACACUAUGAGAAAGAGCCACUGCCCACUACCUCCCAGAGAGUAAUUGUCAACUCUCUCAGAGUAACAGCCACCCCAGAGAGUAACUGCCACUCCCAGAGACCAACCGCCACAGAAAAAAAAAAAAACAAAACUAUUAUACUGUCAACAUUUGAAACUGAUAUUGUCUCAUAUGAACUUUAAACUCCAAUUUUUUUCUCAAGCCAGCUUCUCUACUUCUUAUCUCUAAACUAAUAUAAUAAAACUUAAUUUCUAAUAUCA
rnacentral:lncRNA from 1 species